rnacentral:rRNA from 1 species
CCAGACUCCUACGGGAGGCAGCAGUGAGGAAUAUUGGUCAAUGGCCGGAAGGCUGAACCAGCCAAGCCGCGUGAGGGAGGAAGGCGCAGAGCGUCGCAGACCUCUUUUGCCGGGGGACAAAAGGCCGGACUCGUCCGGUCCCGAGGGUACCCGGAGAAAAAGCAUCGGCUAACUCCGUGCCAGCAGCCGCGGUAAUACGUAGGUGGCAAGCGUUGUCCGGAUUUACUGGGUGUAAGGGGCGUGUAGCCGGGCUGACAAGUCAGAUGUGAAAUCCGGGGGCUCAACCCCUGAACUGCAUUUGAAACUGUUGGUCUUGAGUAUCGGAGAGGCAGGCGGAAUUCCUAGUGUGGCGGUGAAAUGCGUAGAUAUUAGGAGGAACACCAGUGGCGAAGGCGGCCUGCUGGACGACAACUGACGGUGAGGCGCGAAAGCGUGGGGAGCAAACAGGAUUAGAUACCCCCGUAC